rnacentral:lncRNA from 1 species
UCUUAACUUGCUCUUUGCUCGAUACGAAUUCCUCGUAUCACAUCAUCUAUAUUUCCUCAUGAGUUAUCUCGUACUAUUUCAUAGUACACCAUCUUCAUAGCAUUAAGCUAUAAUCAUUCAAACAUUACAGACCAUCUUUCUUUUAUCACUUCAACUGAUCACGUCGUGAUCUUAUUCUAUAAUCAUCUCUCCUAAAAUUCUUUUGUUAACUCGUGAUCGUUUUAUUUUACGAUCCCCUUUCUUUCCUUUUAUUUAAGACAUUAUUCGUUAUCUUGGCUUUUGGAGUUAGGAAACUCCGAUUUCUUAUCUUUAUAUCUCUUCAAGAUUCUUCUUUGAAUCUUCUUGUUUAUAUAACAAUUCUUCCUUUAAGAAUUCUAACUUCAUUUACAUCGCUUAAAAUUUCAUUCGAGUUCUACACUUUCAUCACACGUAUCCAUUUCUAUACUUGGUACACAUCGAGUCUCUAACAGUUUCAAUAUGGUACGUUGAGUGGUUUUCCACAAACAACCAACAAACUAGGUUCCGAGUUACUAGUUUGUAUAUACCUCCGCUCUAUGAAGGAAUCGUUUAGCCCAGAUACCAUACAUCAACUACUAAAGAGUACAAUUGCACCACACUUACAUAUAACUCUCUAUUCUUAACUUCUUUAUCAUUCUCUUCUUAUAGACAUUGUCUAUUUAUUAUCACCUUACAUUCUUAUUAUUGGAGUUGGGUAACCCCACAUUCAUAUUCCUUAUAACUCUGCCAAGAUUCUUCUUUGAAUCAUUUCAUGCAAGUUUUAAUCCCUUCUUUAUACGUUUCUUACAUUACUUCUUAUUGCUCAAACUCUAUCUGAGCUUAUUCUUUCAUUAUAUUCACCUCUUUUCUUUAAGGUUAUAGCCUACGGUACUCCUACCUAAGGUUUAUAACCUACAGCUUUGAAACCAACUGUAACGACCCCAAAAUUCAUACAAUAUAAUUAUUAACUUCGGUCGUUAAUAACACAUCCACCUUCUGAUUUUACAUCAUUAAUCGAUGUUAGACUUAAUAAAAUGAGGAAUAAUUAAAACUUUUCUGUCAUCUUACUUUAAUUCCCUGAAUCAAAACCUUUAUCAUCUACAUGUCUUUGAAACAUAUAUAAUCCAUAAUUCACUUCAUCACAAUUAUUAUAUCAAAUAACUCAACCUGAUAACCUUUACAUGUCAGAUAACUCUAACUUUAGCUUUACAACUCAAUAUAAAACUAUACAUCAUAAAACAUUUAGUACAUCUCAUGAAUCAUAAUCAUGGUAUUAAGACAUAACAAAUUUAGCUAAAAUAUUAAUCUUCGUGUAUUAUUUUUGAUCCACGUCAUUCAAGUAGCACAUAGUGUUACCUUCAAUCCUUAACCUGCAAAAAUGGUUAUUUGCAAGGUUGAACUCGACAGCCCAACAAAAUCUAACAGUUUUCAUGCAUCACAUAGCACAUAAUAACAUGCUCAACAUAUAACAUACAUACUACAAUUCAUUUAACAAGUAUAAAGAUUGAGUCCUUACUCAAUCAGCAUGUUUUACCAAAUCAAUGUAGUCAUAAGUUGACUUUAACAUUUCAUACAUUCAACAUAUAUAUUAGAUAGAUCAUGC